UUUUUGUGAUAAAUGUGAUGUCAUCAUGCACACCAGAUAUGUCCUUCACAAUAGACGUGCCAUGACUGCCGGAUUCUUCCAGCCAUUGCCUCCAACAACUUACAUUGUAAAUAAGACCCUUUGCCAUGAUGCACGACUUGUACCUGUGGAGAGCCCAGUCAGAAUCUGCGGCUGUCCACCAGAGUGUUUGAGGGUCAGACCAGGAAAGGUUGUUGCUGUGGUCACAAUGAAUGGACGUUACGAUCUCAGCAUGCCAGAGCUGAGGUGUGAGACAUGUGAAGCUUCUUGGACUGCUGGAGUAGAUGACCUAAAUCAAAGUGAUUACUGGCCCGCUACCCUUCACUUUUCUACUUUGUACGCAACAGAUGUCUUCUUUACAUUUGAAGAAAUGAAGAUGGCAUCACCCGGACUCUCCUGCAAAGCAUUUUUAAAAAUGCUUGAUCAACGAACUCUCCAUUUU